AUUGAACGCUGGCGGCAGGCUUAACACAUGCAAGUCGAGCGGAGAUGAGGUGCUUGCACCUUAUCUUAGCGGCGGACGGGUGAGUAAUGCUUAGGAAUCUGCCUAUUAGUGGGGGACAACAUUCCGAAAGGAAUGCUAAUACCGCAUACGUCCUACGGGAGAAAGCAGGGGAUCUUCGGACCUUGCGCUAAUAGAUGAGCCUAAGUCGGAUUAGCUAGUUGGGGGGGUAAAGGCCGACCAAGGCGACGAUCUGUAGCGGGUCUGAGAGGAGGAUCCGCCACACUGGGACUGAGACACGGCCCAGACUCCUACGGGGGGCAGCAGUGGGGAAUAUUGGACAAUGGGGGAAACCCUGAUCCAGCCAUGCCGCGUGUGUGAAGAAGGCCUUAUGGUUGUAAAGCACUUUAAGCGAGGAGGAGGCUACUGAGACUAAUACUCUUGGAUAGUGGACGUUACUCGCAGAAUAAGCACCGGCUAACUCUGUGCCAGCCGCCGCCGUAAAAC
rnacentral:rRNA from 1 species